AACUGCUCUGGAGUAACACGUCGUUCACUGUCACAUACAAAUAUUGUGUGGGUUGUACGAACGAAGCAAUAUGAACUCUAAAUAUCUUGCUGUCAUUCUUGUAACCGCAAUUAUUAUUGCAGAGACAGUCACUGUAGAAGGAACAUCGUACAAUCGUCCCAAACAUCGACGUAGCAAGGGUCGAUCAUUUGAUCUGAACCAGGUUGAGGAUUCUGUCGAGGAAGAAAGGCGGGAAUUCGACAACUCUGCGCGGAGAUAUGUAGAAAAUGAAGAGGAACGGCAAAUCGAUUAAUGUUAUAUAAUAAAAACACAAAAUGAUGUCAUAAACAAUGAGUUGAUAUGGUGAAAUGUUGAUAUUAAAAAUGUUUUACAUCAAGAAAAA